CAAUCGGCCCUUUUCAGGGCCACCAAUUUCUCAUUCGAUGAAUAU
rfam:Harpegnathos saltator strain R22 G/1 HarSal_1.0_3.contig5386, whole genome shotgun sequence.